rnacentral:rRNA from 1 species
UACGUAGGCAGCAAGCGUUGUUCGGAAUUACUGGGCGUAAAGAGUGUGUAGGCGGUGCUCUAAGUUCGGUGUGAAAUCUCCCGGCUCAACUGGGAGGGUGCGCCGAAAACUGGGGGUGCUGGAGCGCGGGAGAGGAAAGCGGAAUUCCUGGUGUAGCGGUGAAAUGCGUAGAUAUCAGGAGGAACACCGGCGGUGUAGACGGCUUUCUGGACCGUAGCUGACGCUGAGACACGAAAGCGUGGGUAGCAAACAGGA